rnacentral:lncRNA from 10 species
CCUUGGCCUCCCAAAGUGCUGGGAUUACAGGCACGAGCCACAGCAUCCGGCCUUGUCACCCAUUUUUCUGGUGAGGAAACGGGCUGAUCUUCAGCAAGUUUCCUGUGUCCCCUUUGGUGCCAGCAUCCACCUGGUAUUUUUGCCCAGCCAGACUGCAAGCUUUUGAGCAAGCAGACCUGAAUGCCCCUCCUUCUCAGCCUUCAAGGUCUGCGGUUUGCCUCACUUCACCUGGCCAGCCUAGGACACCUUCAUGCCCACAGAGCCACAGCCCUGGUCUACACCCACCUCCUUUGUUCUUUACUGCCUCUGCCUCACUAACCAGGAGCACCCCAACAACCUGCCAUUCAGGUACAGACCCCAUGGAGAUGCCACCCUGGAACUCAAACAUCUAUAAGCCCAGAGCUGGCUUCCACCUUCUUGGUUCUGUUGGAACCAACUCCUGCAGCCCUUUGGACAUGGUUCAGAAUGAAAGCCUUCUUCCUCGGUGGCAAACCCCAUGGCCAGAUGGGUGCCUGAGCCCUGUAUCUCCCUCCUCCUUUCAGCACAGAUCUAGAAAAGUUCCCAGCCUGUCUAAGGGCCAGGCACACACAGAUAGCAUCAGCAGCAGAAAUCCCCAAACUUUGUAUAUCCUCCAACUUAGGUUGUCACAGAAGGAUGGCAAUGUUUCCUAGUCUGUUAAUCAGUCCCAAGUGGAAUUAUGAAAACAACAACCACCUCUCUCAAUGGCUAAAAUAUUAAUUAUUGAUGGAAAGUGUGGAAGCUUGGCACUGGAAUUCUUAGAAUUCUACUCCAAUCCCUUGGAACUGGCAAAUGGUCCUGAUGCUGAAAGAACUUAAAAUUCCCAGGUUAGUAAAGUCCAGCGUGUAUAGGACAUUGUGGUGGUACCUAUGGUCAACAAUUUGGAGGGGCAUGAACAGCUGUCUCUAUUACGGUCAUCAUAUUGUUUUGGGAAUAGAAUUCUCAGUAAGGAGAAAUGCAAAAUCAUAGUCUUAAUUAUCAUCAAACUGAAAAAUUAUAUUCAAGACGAGAGGCCCAUAAUGGCAGCAUCAAGCAUGAGACAGUGCCAUUAAUAUGAUUAUCAGGACAUAAGCCUAUUAGAGAACUUAAUGCCUUUUUGCUGGCAUCGCCCUUUGUUAUGCUUCUCAGGGUUUAGAAACCAUCUCAGUUGUAAACAUAACUGUUACAAAACAGUGAUUUCCAGGGGGCAUAACAAAGAUCUGCCCACCUUUACCAAAGAUCAAAGCUGCCUGGCUAUGGAGAAAGAGAAUAUUUUUAGAAAAUGAAGACCAAUCUCCCAACUCUAGGUGGCUCUUAUUGAGAAAGGAAGAAAGGGAGUGUAUCUCGCUCCAAGUCUUGCUUUGUGGCAAUCCAGUUGUGGACAUGAUUGUGAGGUUUAACCACCACAUGGAGAUAUGCAUGCAACAACUCAGAUGGAUACAGUGGCCUAGGUCUUGGCUGCUGCUAGUGAAAAACCAUGGUAUGGAAAUCCCCAAUUCCAGGUUCAACUCCCACCUUGGGAAGAAGCCAAGUGUGGUCCACAUGGGAACAGUAACAUCUAAAGAGUUCUCAGGAAGAGGAAAUUAGGUCAUUUAUGGCCAAGUACCUGCAAACAUUUGGGGCUUAAUAAAUGUUUGUUUCCCUCCUCAGUCUUGGCCAUGGAACCAAGUCCCCAUCAGGAUAAAGUAUGAGU